rfam:Olsenella sp. oral taxon 807 strain F0089, complete genome.
UUCCAGUUUCAGGGCGGGGUGAGAUUCCCCACUGGCGGUAGGUGCGCGCAAAAAGUCCCGCACGAGUCCGCGAGCCGCACAAGAACUGCGGUUGACCUGGUGGGAUUCCAGGACCAACGGUUAUAGUCCGGAUGAGAGAAACGGAAG